rnacentral:lncRNA from 1 species
CAUCACCUUCAUGAGCGCAUCAGUGAACACCAGUCUAAGGAAGACAUCUCUGAACGUAAUUUUGGAGAUUUUGAUGAGUUCCAUUGAAACAAGGAGGAAUGUGAUGUCCAGUAUCAGUUCUGCAGACCCAAGGACAAAGAAAAUUCUGUGAUAAACUCAUCCAGUGUGACUGUAAUGUGGGUAUCUAUUUGAUACCUCCAAGUAACUGUUUAUUCUUGUGCCAGUUGAGUAGAUGGUACGGGCCAGUUGGUGUUGAUUAGUGAACCACGGACAAAGGGCAUAUGUCACAUGAGUUGCUCCUGGAUAAAGUCACCCAGUCACUUCCUGAUGAAUAUCCUGCAUAAACUCCAAAGACAAAAGAGAGUUAAGGUUGUUUUUCUCACCUUAGACCAGGCAGUGAUAGAAGAACUGGGGGAAGAGAUAAUUGUAUUUAUCUUGGUGAGGGUGACAAAUCAUGGCAAAUGAGCAAAAUGAAAAAGGUUUGCAGAUUUCAACAAACUUCUAAAAGAUCAGCUUACAGUCAUGUAUACAUCUCUUCCUUUGUUUCUAGUUUAUUUGCAUCUCAUUACUAUGUUCUCGGUUUAGGAUACAAGACACCGGACUUUCAAAUCAACAAUUGUUUCAAAAGACUCCUACUGGAUUCCUGCUAGUGAUGGGAGAAAAUUAUCAUUCUGUGAGUUGUCAAUAAAUGUUUAACCACAGUUCACCUUUUUUGGAUUUUAAGAUGUCUGCGCCACUAGGACGCUCAGAAAAAUUACCCUCCAAAUGCUACUUGGAGGAGGAUUCAGUACCACCCUGAGAAGGCAACCAGCUACAACCUUGGUUGUAGUUUCGGUUGCAGAAAGAGCGUGAAGUGUGCAACUCAUGUCUGUCUUCAUUUUAAUAGGCUAGUUAAUCUGUAGCCAGAGAUGAUUAAGGAGGUCAUUAAAGGAAAACAAGCUGCCCACCAUGCUGAUGCCUGGUUGUUCAGAUCGUUGAGGUGGUGUAGAGAUGACGCACACUGGCUCAGUUUACCCACAUUUGGAUCUACGGACCUGCAAGUGUAUGAGCAUAAAACAUUGCACUUCUGACAUCUUUAAAACUUUUGUCUUCUCUCUGGGGUUCUGGCUCUUCCUUCUGCUUUCGUGUUUUGGUUUUUAAGCAGUAACAUUUAUUUAAGUAUUUGCAAUGUGUCAAUGCUGUGCUGAGUGUGUUGUGUGUAUUAUCAAUAUUGCUAAACGUAGUGAAGUAGGAACUAUUAUUUCCCCCAUAGAAAGAAGCACACAGCCUAAAGGGAAAGCCACUCUCCUGAGAUCCUUGUGUCAACAGAUGACAGAGGGGGUACUCGAACCCAAGUCCUGUGACUCACCCAUGCCUGCAAAGUCUCUUCUUGGAUACCUUUCCUGUUUUCUUUAUUUUUUCUUUUUCUAUUCUUUACUGUUGUUUGUGUUUGUUUGUUUGUUUUUUAAGCAGGGUCUCACUCUAUCACCCAAGCUGGAGUGCAGUGGCAGAAUCACAGCUCACUGCAGCCUUGACCUCCUCAGGCUCAGGUGAUCCGCCCACCUCAGCCUCUUGAGUAGCUGGGACUGCAGGCAUGCACCACCAUGUCUCGCUAAUUUUUGUAGAGACGGUGUUUUACCAUGUUGUCCAGGCUGGUCUCAAACUCCUGGGCUUGAGUGAUCUACCUGCCUUGGCCUCCCAAAGUGCUGGGAUCACAGGCAUGAACCACUGCACCCAACCCUUCUUGUUUUGUUUAGGUGCUGACAUCUUAACUAAAGGACUACCUUAGCAAAAAAUGUCUCUCUUCUCUCAGGGGUCCCAUCCUCCUAACUCGGCCCUCCUUAAUCUCAAGCCUGCAACUCUAGCACGUAGGAAGGAAGCAGCACACCGUCUCUGGUGACUGCAACAGAGGCCUGAGCCCCACCCACACCCUCCUGCAGGGUUGGACAUUGGCAAAUCCAGCCAUUGAUAUCAAAGCAAAAGGCUCAUUCAUUUACUUGCAUUUGUGGUUGGGAGCAUUUCCCGAAGAGAGGUGGGGAAUUGGUGAUGGGAAAGCACAAGUCAGGCUGGAUGCCCGGCCCUGGGCACUCUCAUGCCUCUUCUGGAGCCCUUCAGUUUGGAUCAUCGCCCUUUCCCACAUGCCACAUUGUUUGUCCACCCUGAUAGCCUCUGUCAUGACACACCAGCCCUGGGAUAUCACAUAAGCUACAGGUCAGACGCUGCUUUCCAGACAGAAUUAUGGAGAAGACAACCAUCAUUUUGGUUCAGCCAACCCAUAUUGCACAUUUAAAGCCAUUAGUUGUUCCCACCUCUAAUAGGAGCUAUAGAUAGUGGAUUUCAAGAGAGUACCAAGGUUGCUACUCCAUAAUGGCCAGAAGAGCAAGCCAAAAACAUCAGAGUAAACACAGAAACCUCACAUCUCAGGGAGGUUUGCUUAACAAACAUAUCAAGACCUGGGAUACCUGGAAAACUGCAGAUGAAAAGAAUAUGUCUAAGAUCCUGUUAACAGCAGAACUUAGACUGCUAGCCCUGCUGGAAAUUUUCCAUGCUCUUCAUUCGUUCUCCUGUAUUUCCUAACGCCAAUAAAAGAGGAGAUCCCUGA